rnacentral:rRNA from 1 species
CUAUAAUGCAGUCGAGCGAACGGACGAGAGUGCUUGCACUCUCUGAUGUUAGCGGCGGACGGGUGAGUAACACGUGGGUAACCUACCUAUAAGACUGGGAUAACUUCGGGAAACCGGAGCUAAUACCGGAUAAUAUUUAGCUUCGCAUGAAGCAAUAGUGAAAGACGGUUCUGCUGUCACUUAUAGAUGGACCCGCGGUGUAUUAGCUAGUUGGUGAGGUAACGGCUCACCAAGGCAACGAUACAUAGCCGACCUGAGAGGGUGAUCGGCCACACUGGGACUGAGACACGGCCCAGACUCCUACGGGAGGCAGCAGUAGGGAAUCUUCCGCAAUGGACGAAAGUCUGACGGAGCAACGCCGCGUGAGUGAAGAAGGUUUUCGGAUCGUAAAACUCUGUUGUAAGGGAAGAACAAGUACGUUAGUAACUGAACGUACCUUGACGGUACCUUACCAGAAAGCCACGGCUAACUACGUGCCAGCAGCCGCGGUAAUACGUAGGUGGCAAGCGUUAUCCGGAAUUAUUGGGCGUAAAGCGCGCGUAGGCGGUCUCUUAAGUCUGAUGUGAAAGCCCCCGGCUCAACCGGGGAGGGUCAUUGGAAACUGGGAGACUUGAGUGCAGAAGAGGAGAGUGGAAUUCCAUGUGUAGCGGUGAAAUGCGCAGAGAUAUGGAGGAACACCAGUGGCGAAGGCGGCUCUCUGGUCUGUAACUGACGCUGAGGUGCGAAAGCGUGGGGAUCAAACAGGAUUAGAUACCCUGGUAGUCCACGCCGUAAACGAUGAGUG